rnacentral:rRNA from 1 species
GCUUCUCUGAUGUUAGCGGCGGACGGGUGAGUAACACGUGGAUAACCUACCUAUAAGACUGGGAUAACUUCGGGAAACCGGAGCUAAUACCGGAUAAUAUUUUGAACCGCAUGGUUCAAAAGUGAAAGACGGUCUUGCUGUCACUUAUAGAUGGAUCCGCGCUGCAUUAGCUAGUUGGUAAGGUAACGGCUUACCAAGGCAACGAUGCAUAGCCGACCUGAGAGGGUGAUCGGCCACACUGGAACUGAGACACGGUCCAGACUCCUACGGGAGGCAGCAGUAGGGAAUCUUCCGCAAUGGGCGAAAGCCUGACGGAGCAACGCCGCGUGAGUGAUGAAGGUCUUCGGAUCGUAAAACUCUGUUAUUAGGGAAGAACAUAUGUGUAAGUAACUGUGCACAUCUUGACGGUACCUAAUCAGAAAGCCACGGCUAACUACGUGCCAGCAGCCGCGGUAAUACGUAGGUGGCAAGCGUUAUCCGGAAUUAUUGGGCGUAAAGCGCGCGUAGGCGGUUUUUUAAGUCUGAUGUGAAAGCCCACGGCUCAACCGUGGAGGGUCAUUGGAAACUGGAAAACUUGAGUGCAGAAGAGGAAAGUGGAAUUCCAUGUGUAGCGGUGAAAUGCGCAGAGAUAUGGAGGAACACCAGUGGCGAAGGCGACUUUCUGGUCUGUAACUGACGCUGAUGUGCGAAAGCGUGGGGAUCAAACAGGAUUAGAUACCCUGGUAGUCCACGCCGUAAACGAUGAGUGCUAAGUGUUAGGGGGUUUCCGCCCCUUAGUGCUGCAGCUAACGCAUUAAGCACUCCGCCUGGGGAGUACGACCGCAAGGUUGAAACUCAAAGGAAUUGACGGGGACCCGCACAAGCGGUGGAGCAUGUGGUUUAAUUCGAAGCAACGCGAAGAACCUUACCAAAUCUUGACAUCCUUUGACAACUCUAGAGAUAGAGCCUUCCCCUUCGGGGGACAAAGUGACAGGUGGUGCAUGGUUGUCGUCAGCUCGUGUCGUGAGAUGUUGGGUUAAGUCCCGCAACGAGCGCAACCCUUAAGCUUAGUUGCCAUCAUUAAGUUGGGCACUCUAAGUUGACUGCCGGUGACAAACCGGAGGAAGGUGGGGAUGACGUCAAAUCAUCAUGCCCCUUAUGAUUUGGGCUACACACGUGCUACAAUGGACAAUACAAAGGGCAGCGAAACCGCGAGGUCAAGCAAAUCCCAUAAAGUUGUUCUCAGUUCGGAUUGUAGUCUGCAACUCGACUACAUGAAGCUGGAAUCGCUAGUAAUCGUAGAUCAGCAUGCUACGGUGAAUACGUUCCCGGGUCUUGUACACACCGCCCGUCACACCACGAGAGUUUGU